rnacentral:rRNA from 1 species
CGGGUGGCAGCAGUCGAGAAUAAUUCGCAAUGGACGAUAGUCUGAUGGUGCAACGCCGCGUGGAGGAUGACGGUCUUCGGAUUGUAAACUCCUGUCAUCGGGGAGUAAGACCUGGCUGUGAAUAGCAGACAGGGUUGAUAGUACCCGAAGAGGAAGGGACGGCUAACUUCGUGCCAGCAGCCGCGGUAAUACGAAGGUCCCGAGCGUUGUUCGGAAUCACUGGGCGUAAAGGGAGCGUAGGCGGCAGGGUAAGUCAGAUGUGAAAUCCCGGGGCUCAACCCCGGGAACGGCAUCCGAUACUGCCCUGCUUGAGUAAUGGAGGGGUAGCUGGAAUUCUCGGUGUAGCAGUGAAAUGCGUGGAUAUCGAGAGGAACACUCGUGGCGAAAGCGAGCUACUGGACAUUGACUGACGCUGAGGCUCGAAGGCCAGGGUAGCGAAAGGGAUUAGGUACCCCUGUAGUCCUGGCAGUAAACGGUGUGCGCUUGGUGUGAGGGGUUUCGACCCCCCUUGUGCCGGAGCUAACGCGUUAAGCGCACCGCCUGGGAAGUACGGUCGCAAGACUAAAACUCAAAGAAAUUGACGGGGACCCGCACAAGCGGUGGAGUAUGUGGCUUAAUUCGAUGCAACGCGAAGAACCUUACCUGGGCUUGACAUGCAUUGCUAAUCCGCUGAAAGGCGGUGAGUCUUCGGACACCUUGCACAGGUGCUGCAUGGCCGUCGUCAGCUCGUGUCGUGAGAUGUUGGGUUAAGUCCCGCAACGAGCGCAACCCCUGUGAUUAGUUGCCAGCACGUGAAGGUGGGGACUCUAAUCAGACUGCCCAGAUCAACUGGGAGGAAGGUGGGGACGACGUCAGGUCAGUAUGGCCCUUACGCCCAGGGCUGCACACGUACUACAAUGCCCAGCACAAUUGGAACCGAUACCGCGAGGUGGAGGGAAUCCGAAAAACUGGGCCCAGUUCGGAUUGGAGGCUGCAACUCGCCUCCAUGAAGCCGGAAUCGCUAGUAAUGGCACAUCAGCUACGGUGCCGUGAAUACGUUCCCGGGUCUUGUACACACCGCCCGUCACAUCAUGGAAGCCGGUAGCACCCGAAGUAUCUUUAC